rnacentral:lncRNA from 9 species
ACAUGAUGAAGCAUUUUUCUCCCCCAUUUAAAGAUCCAGUCAUGUUCCAGUUUGCAGGGGCAGAAGGGCUGGUUUGCAGUUGGUGCUGGGAGGAUAGAGCAUGCAGAAGUCCCUGGGCCAGGAAUGGAACCUGUGCCACAGAAGCAACCCAAGCCAAUGCUGGUGACGAUGCUGGUUCCUUAACCCACUGAGUCACUGGGGAAACUCCUCAUUGGUCUUUCUUAAGGGACCAGUUCUAGCAAUUAGAUGAGGCUGGCCAUUACCAGUGGUCUAGGACUGUUGUAUUCUUAUUAUCUAGUGCAAGAAGCUAAGCAAUAAUAGGACUCAAGUCUAUCUGCUAAGAAGGGGAAGAGGUAACUCUGCUUUUACUCCUUUUUCAUUCCAGCAAGUCUAUGAAGUAGAUGCUGUUAGUAUCCCCACUUCAUGGUUUGGGAAAUGGAGGAUCAGAGAGGUUGGGUGACUUGCCCCAGGUCACAGCUAGUGGUGGAGCUGGGAUUCAAACCCAGGUCUGCGAGGCUCCACAGCAGGUAUUCUCAACUACAAGAGUGUGCUACCACCUCUCACAUUCAUAGGAAGGCCAGCUGAGUUCCCACAGGACCACUGCUUUACAACUGGACCUAUCACUUUCCUGGUCCUAUCACCCCUGGCUGGAGCUUUGCUCUGGGGGUUCCUUCUGGCAUCUUGGUGGAAGCAAGGGGGGUUGAUAACUGGCAUUGUCUUGAAGGAGGAGGCUUUCCAGGCAGGCAGAAAGUUGAAAUGACUGCUGACUCAGCUAUCUGGAUGUCCUUACCUGAGGAGACAGGUAAAUAGACAGCAGUCAUGGAACCAUGAUUAAUGUUCAUAGAGUAGAUCUUACAUCCUCAAGAAAACAAUUUUGGCAACUUUUGUGUGGUGAGUACAUGCCUCCUGUGUGCUGGCUUCCUGCAUACAUGGUGUCUGCCACAACUGCCCUAGGUCUGCAGGGUCGUCCUCCAGUACAGAGUAGGAUACCUAGCAGAGAAAGAAAGUGACCUGCCAAGGUCAGAGAACAAGGUGGUGGAGGGGCUGUGGCACACACUUAGGCCUCCUGCACUUCCCAAUAUUUCACAAUGGCCCUCAGAAAAAAAUACUUCAGUGAUGCUUCAUCUCUUUAUUCAGGAGGAGAAAGCUGUGCUUAGUACAUUUUAGAAAGCUUCUAUGCCAAUGAGUUUAAAUUGGGGUGUUGGGGCUUAGGGGGAGAACUAUCAGUUGAGUGAAAGUUCAUUUCCAGUGGUCAGUGUUGGCAGAUGAAUGAGGCAUUAUUUGGCCUUAAAGAGGCCCCUGUAAGUGGGCACACCUGGGCCUGGUGGAUGUGAAGCUUGCUUUGCUGGGGGCAGCUGCAUCCUGGCUGGUUCCUCUGAAGUCAGGCUGCAUGAGAACACAUAGGCCCUGGCAGCAUCCUGGCACCACCCAAAGCAGCAAACACCAGCAGCAAGGACACAUGCCAGGAAAGUUUCUGCAACCUCUUCCUCGGCCCUGAGCUAGGCGCCUGCCAUGGACAGAAGACUGCAGGAGCCCACAGCAGACCUAGACAGACUGUUUCUUCCACAGAAUUAUCUCACUAAAUAACUCUCGCUAAAGCCUAACAAGACUUGUCAUCAAGCCCAUUUUCCGGAGGGAGAAACCGAGACUCCAAGAACUACAGAACCUAUUUCUGUGUCUCAAUACGUAGGCCGGCUCUCCGACUUGACGGAAUCGCUCUGGCAACAGCGCCCUCUAAAGGCGGAGGCGAGUAUGCCUGCGUAACAGUCGUGCCCCGUCCUUUGGCGCUGGAAAUGGCGGAGGGCUCCCUCUGGCUUCUGAGGAUUGUCCAGCGCCCUCCGAGGUCCUGGAGAAGCCAGGAGCGCUGCCUACAACUCGGCCUUGACUUCCCCGCAGCCUUGGUCGCCGCAGCAUUGGGUCAGAGGCAUCCCUGGAGAUUGCAGAAAGUUAGCGGCGGCCCCUGUUGACGCAGCGAGUGACGGCCCGACAUACCCUGAUAGGCCACGGGGAGGGCCAGACGCAGAGCCUUGAAAGAAGGAGCUUGCGCUCUGGAAGGGGCGUGGCCAGCGCUCUUCCUCGAGGGCGGGGCUCUAGGGGAAGGGGCUCUUCUCUGGGAUAUUGUGCCACAAGCGAGGACACCCGUGCACCUAGCCCAGGGCCUGUGUCCUGGCGUCAGCGCAUCUGUGGGCAGCAACUUUACCCUCCCCAGACCUCAGUUUCUGCACCUGUAAGACGGAGGCUCUUCCACAACUGCAAAAAUCGGAGUUUCAUCCAGCAUUCUCAGAAUUCCUGUCUCCAGGCAGGCACUGAGGAAUCAGAGCUGCGUUCCUGUGGAGGCUCAGAGCUCUGAGAUCUCCUUCACUUGCUGCAUCAGUACUCCUGACACUGGAGAGUUCUGGAGGUUGGAGACCAGCCCCUUCCUGGUGGAACAGGCACCCUGUAGCCUGGGAUGUGACAGUCAUAUGACAGGGCCUGUAACAAGUAACAGUGGUAGCCCAAAUAUGUCGAGCACUUACUAUAUGCCUGGCUUUUCAUGAAGUCUGUCGCAUACGUUAUUUACACCCCCACCCGCACAGCCGUGUCUGGUGGUCCUGUUCUUGACAUCCUGUUUACUGAUGAGCCCAGAGUCACACAAUAGUAGCCAGUCCAAGGUCACCCAGCUAAUAAAUGGCUGAAGCAG